AUUGAACGCUGGCGGCAUGCCUUACACAUGCAAGUCGAACGGUAACAGGUUAAGCUGACGAGUGGCGAACGGGUGAGUAAUGUAUCGGAACGUGCCCAGUCGUGGGGGAUAACUGCUCGAAAGAGCAGCUAAUACCGCAUACGACCUGAGGGUGAAAGCGGGGGAUCGCAAGACCUCGCGCGAUUGGAGCGGCCGAUAUCAGAUUAGGUAGUUGGUGAGGUAAAGGCUCACCAAGCCGACGAUCUGUAGCUGGUCUGAGAGGACGACCAGCCACACUGGGACUGAGACACGGCCCAGACUCCUACGGGAGGCAGCAGUGGGGAAUUUUGGACAAUGGGCGCAAGCCUGAUCCAGCCAUGCCGCGUGCGGGAAGAAGGCCUUCGGGUUGUAAACCGCUUUUGUCAGGGAAGAAAAGGUUCUGGCUAAUACCUGGGACUCAUGACGGUACCUGAAGAAUAAGCACCGGCUAACUACGUGC
rnacentral:rRNA from 1 species